AACGGCAGCACAGGAGAGCUUGCUCUCUGGGUGGCGAGUGGCGGACGGGUGAGGAAUACAUCGGAAUCUACUCUGUCGUGGGGGAUAACGUAGGGAAACUUACGCUAAUACCGCAUACGACCUACGGGUGAAAGCAGGGGACCUUCGGGCCUUGCGCGAUUGAAUGAGCCGAUGUCGGAUUAGCUAGUUGGCGGGGUAAAGGCCCACCAAGGCGACGAUCCGUAGCUGGUCUGAGAGGAUGAUCAGCCACACUGGAACUGAGACACGGUCCANACUAAUACGGGAGGCAGCAGUGGGGAAUAUUGGACAAUGGGCGCAAGCCUGAUCCAGCCAUACCGCGUGGGUGAAGAAGGCCUUC
rnacentral:rRNA from 1 species